GACGAACGCUGGCGGCGUGCUUAACACAUGCAAGUCGAGCGGUAAGGCCCUUUCGGGGGUACACGAGCGGCGAACGGGUGAGUAACACGUGGGUGACCUGCCCUCAGCUCUGGGAUAGGCCUGGGAAACUGGGUCUAAUACCGGAUAUGACUCCAUGACGCAUGUUGUGGGGUGGAAAGCCUUGUGCGGCUGAGGAUGGGCCCGCGGCCUAUCAGCUUGUUGGUGGGGUGANGGCCUACCAAGGCGACGACGGGUAGCCGGCCUGAGAGGGCGACCGGCCACACUGGGACUGAGACACGGCCCAGACUCCUACGGGAGGCAGCAGUGGGGAAUCUUGCGCAAUGGGCGAAAGCCUGACGCAGCGACGCCGCGUGAGGGAUGACGGCCU
rnacentral:rRNA from 1 species